AAAUUACAAUUCAAUAACAGUAGUUCUGCUAAAACAGAAUCAGCACAAGUAUUUUAACUAUCACAAUAUUUGAUACAGAGAUCAUACUCUAUAACAAC